UAAUUAGUAAUUUAAUAAAAAUUUAUACAUUUUGAUUGUAUGCAUAGCUUGGAAGGCUCUAAUUAA